GCAAAAGACAGCGAUCCAAUCAGGCCACGGUUCACCCCCCAAGGGGACAGCAUACAACUUUACGAAAUGUUGAUGCAAAGAGACAACGAACGGCUCAGAGUGCGUCCCCCGUUUUGAAUGCCAGCGUCAUCGCGAUCGAUAAUGUAUCACCUUUGGAGUCUGACGCUAGAACAUCUGGACAAGGGUCGAGCACACAUGACAUAGCAGUGAGCUUUGUAGAUUGGGAUGAGGAUCUGAUUAAUGCGUGGGACGCUUGCGAUUUUGAACUACCUUCACCGUCGCAAUCGCC